rnacentral:rRNA from 1 species
CGAGACCUCAGGUCAGGCGGGGCUACCCGCUGAGUUUAAGCAUAUCAGAUU